UGAGGAAUAUUGGUCAAUGGCCGAGAGGCUGAACCAGCCAAGUCGCGUGAGGGAAGAAUGUCCUAUGGAUUGUAAACCUCUUUUGUCAGGGAGCAAAGUCACCCACGUGUGGGUGUUGGAGAGUACCUGAAGAAAAAGCAUCGGCUAACUCCGUGCCAGCAGCCGCGGUAAUACGGAGGAUGCGAGCGUUAUCCGGAUUUAUUGGGUUUAAAGGGUGCGUAGGCGGGUUAUCAAGUCAGCGGUAAAAUCGUGGAGCUCAACUCCAUCCAGCCGUUGAAACUGACGAUCUUGAGUGGGCGAGAAGUAUGCGGAAUGCGUGGUGUAGCGGUGAAAUGCAUAGAUAUCACGCAGAACUCCGAUUGCGAAGGCAGCAUACCGGCGCCCGACUGACGCUGAAGCACGAAAGCGUGGGUAUCGAACAGG
rnacentral:rRNA from 1 species